rnacentral:lncRNA from 1 species
CGUCCGGUAUGAGGGUGAAACGGGCCGUCCCCAUACCCCGUCCAGUAUGGGCUCCAAAACACAUAAGGUCUCCAUAUCCCGUCCGAUAUGAGAGACCACGUUCCCGGUAGGGUUCCCUACGGAUCCGGUCCGUCCACCAUCUCCCAGGAUAUCUAGUCAGGCUGUUCACAUUAUCCAUUUAUUAAUUCACAUAACAUUUUUCCCAUUUUCAUUGGUCUCAAUUUUCCAAUCACAUUUUUCCCAUUUU